UUGCAUCCACUGACAGGCCUUGAACAAUAUAACGUUGUUCUUUUGGUUUGCACUAGGAUGCGAAAGAAAAAAAAUCCCUGUGCUGUCUGCCUGUGUGGCGGCCUGGAUUGAAUAGGGGACUAUAUCU